rnacentral:rRNA from 1 species
GUACACGCUGUGACUAGCAUAUCAAUAAGCGGAGGAAAAGAAACUAACAAGGAUUCCCCUAGUAACAGCGAGUGAAGCGGGAAGAGCUCAAAUUUGAAAUCUUAAAGGGUUUCCCUUUACGAAUUGUAGUUUAAAGAAGUGUUUUCUGUUGAGGUUUUGGUAAAAGUUCUUUGGAAUAGGACAUCAUAGAGGGUGAGAAUCCCGUAUUUGACCUUUACUUUCAACUUUGUGAUACACUUUCAAAGAGUCGGAUUGUUUGGGAAUGCAGUCCAAAAUGGGUGGUAAAUUUCAUCUAAAGCUAAAUAUUGGCGAGAGACCGAUAGCGAACAAGUACCGUGAGGGAAAGAUGAAAAGAACUUUGAAAAGAGAGUUAAACAGUACGUGAAAUUGUCCAAAAGGGAAGCGUUUGACACCAGUGUUGUUUUUCUGAAAAUCAAUUAAAGAACUGUUUAUGCUAAGUUGUUUAGACUUUAUCAGCUAUCUGUUUAGUUUUGAGCCUUUUCUUUAAUGCACUUUUCAGUUAACAAGUCAACAUCAAUUUCUUUUGCUGUAAAAAAGCUUGAGGAAGGUGGCUUGAGAUUCGUCUUAAGUGUUUAUAGCCUCUUGCCUAUGCAGUCGGAGAGAUUGAGGUCUGCAGCGUAGAUCCUUCGGGGCUAAAUGCAUUUGUGCUAAGUUAUAGCAUUUUAUAGACAACUUGCUGACUAUGAUUUGUCUUGUAGCUUACUCGCUUAUGUUAUUUUACCUACGCUUAGGAUGUUGAAGAUGUAGCACAUCAU